AAGCAAUGAAGAGUAAUUUGACACGAAAUGGCGUCAUAUCGUUGACACUCCAAAAAAGACUGCAAAUUCCAAUUCGUUUCGGAAUACAGUCCGUCGACGAGAUGGGCGAUCGUCUAAUCUUCUCUCUGAGCUUU
rnacentral:ncRNA from 14 species